rnacentral:rRNA from 1 species
AGAGGUGGCAAGCGUUGUUCGGAAUUAUUGGGCGUAAAGAGCACGUAGGUGGAUUUGUUAGUCAGAUGUGAAAGCCUUCUGUUCAACGGAAGAAUUGCAUCUGAAACUACAAACCUUGAGUAUAGGAGGGGAGAGUGGAACUUCUGGUGGAGCGGUGAAAUGCGUAGAUAUCAGAAGGAACGCCGGCGGCGAAAGCGACUCUCUGGCCUAUAACUGGCACUGAGUGUGCGAAAGCUAGGGGGGGAGCAAACGGGAUUAGAUACCCCGGUAGUCCUAGCCGUAAACGAUGGGCACUAAGUAGGGGGAACUACCGAUGUUCUCUCUGCCGUAGCAAACGCAUUAAGUGCCCCCGCCUGGGAGUACGGCCGCAAGGCUA